ACAGUUGAUCUCUGAGAAGUGAGUAGCUGGAGGCACCAGGAUACCAGCCAAGCCUAAAGGAUAAAGCAAAUCCCUGGACAUGGCUUUUGAUUCCAAGCUAAGAAGUGCAAGCUCUUCCAAAUACAACUGCAACUGCCAAGAGAUUGAUGGACCAGAGAAUGGCCUCUUCAUUCCAGGCACUUCUAAAGUCCAAGUGGUCAAAUACCAGCCUCUUUUUACCAAUGUUCCCACCUGUUUCAUUCAGCCAAAUUUCAUUAGAUGAAGGAAGGUGGUGCAUUCUUGAGAUUGAGAAUACAGAUGAGAAGCAGGUUUGAAUGGUGAAGAAAUGAUGGACGCUGUUUGUCUCAAACAAGGACUCUAAUGAUACAACAGAACAAGUCACAAGAAAGCUUGCCUGGAAAACCAUACACUGGCCUCUUCGUGGUGAAGUCCUUCACAAUCCUUACAAACAUAGAAAAUAUUCAGCAAUUCGUUUGUUUGUUUUCCAGUCCACUCUUACUUGAGAAAAAUGCAAAACAUCAAAGACACAGAAAAACCACCAGUCUAUACAGCUUGCCCAUACUAAAUUGUUAUUCAUUUCAGAAGAGUGUACAGUUUCUUUCUGUAAGACUCUAUUAAACCAGUUACUCUACAAUAGCAAACAUUUUAGGCAAACCUAACCAUUGCUUCCCAUAAAGAUAUUUAUAUCUUUAAGUGGUAUCUGAUUCAUCCCUAAGAAAUAUGUUAUCAAGAUGUUUGUUUGUUUGUUUGUUUGUUCAUUUGUUUUUGAGAUGGAGUUUCACUCUUGUUGCCCAGGCUGGAGUGCAGUGGCAUGAUCUCGGUUCACUGCAACCUCUGCCUCCCGGUUCAAGCGAUUCUCCUGCCUCAGCCUCCCGAGUAGCUGGGAUUACUGGCACCCACCACCACUCCCAGCUAAUUUUUUGUAUUUUUAAUAGAGACGGGGUUUCACCAUGUUGGCCAGGCUGGUCUCAAACUCCUGACCUCAGGUGAUCCACUUGCCUCGACCUCCCAAAGUGCUGGGAUAACAGGCAUGAGCCAUUGCACCCGGCCGAAGAUUUUUGUUUUGACUGUUUUUUUCUGAACUACAGGGAAACGAAGGCUUUUAUGUUAUUGUCCCCCUUUUCUCACUAACUGGACUUCCUGUGACACGUGAAGACGCUAUGCAUGUUUAAUAAAUACACUUUGAAUUUAAUGCUCAAGGAAGAUAA
ensembl:lncRNA novel transcript